rnacentral:rRNA from 1 species
AGUGAACGCUGGCGGUAGGCCUAACACAUGCAAGUCGAACGGCAGCACAGUAAGAGCUUGCUCUUACGGGUGGCGAGUGGCGGACGGGUGAGGAAUACAUCGGAAUCUACUUUUUCGUGGGGGAUAACGUAGGGAAACUUACGCCAAUACCGCAUACGACCUACGGGUGAAAGCAGGGGAUCUUCGGACCUUGCGCGAUUAAUGAGCCGAUGUCGGAUUAGCUAGUUGGCGGGGUAAAGGCCCACCAAGGCGACGAUCCGUAGCUGGUCUGAGAGGAUGAUCAGCCACACUGGAACUGAGACACGGUCCAGACUCCUACGGGAGGCAGCAGUGGGGAAUAUUGGACAAUGGGCGCAAGCCUGAUCCAGCCAUACCGCGUGGGUGAAGAAGGCCUUCGGGUUGUAAAGCCCUUUUGUUGGGAAAGAAAAGCAGCAGGUUAAUACCCCGCUGUUCUGACGGUACCCAAAGAAUAAGCACCGGCUAACUUCGUG